rnacentral:ncRNA from 2 species
AUAGUAUUUUGAUGAAUCGGUACCGACAACGGUUUAAAAGGGAAUCCGCUGAAAACGGAGCUGCCCCCGCAACUGAUGGUAUUGACGACUGUCCGUAAUCAUCCACUGCCAUAGGCGGGAAGGAUGGACAGAAGAGAGACAUGCCAGCCAGGAGACCUGCCAUUCAUCAUGCAAUACA